GAAAAUGAGGGGGGUUGCAAUUAAAUUUGAAGGAAUUUACUUAAUAAGCAUGGUAUCCAUUUGGUUGUAAUUGCGACUAAAUCAUGGUGACUGGUGUGAAAUAGUCUGGAUUUAUCUUGUCUUCUGUGUGCUGUAUGCAAAUCAGUCUUUACUGAUUGCAGAGAUAAAUUGACAAUGUAUUAUUACAUCAGCUAUCUUGAUGUGGUUAAAUACAUUUAAGCAAGGUUAACGGGCGAAUGUACUAUGCAGGCCACAUCCACUGAUGGGAGUCUGUGACAUCAUAUCGAUUAAAGGGGGUUGUUUCGUGCCUUGUGAUCAGUGCUUCGGUCUGGGUAUUCAUACUGCCAUUGUAUGCUCAGGCCUUAAAAUAUCGGUCGGUCACGGACAUUGUCCGACCCAUUCGUGAAAUUGUCCGACGUAGAGAGGAAACCACCGGACAUUCUGUCCGACCAAAGUGAGACUGAGGUUUAUUGUUUGUCCGACCCGAG